GUAGGGAAUCUUCCGCAAUGGACGCAAGUCUGACGGAGCAACGCCGCGUGAGUGACGAAGGUUUUCGGAUCGUAAAACUCUGUUGUGAGGGAAGAACACGUACCAACUAACUAUUGGUACCUUGACGGUACCUCACCAGAAAGCCACGGCUAACUACGUGCCAGCAGCCGCGGUAAUACGUAGGUGGCAAGCGUUGUCCGGAAUUAUUGGGCGUAAAGCGCGCGCAGGCGGUUCCUUAAGUCUGAUGUGAAAGCCCACGGCUCAACCGUGGAGGGUCAUUGGAAACUGGGGAACUUGAGUGCAGAAGAGGAAAGUGGAAUUCCACGUGUAGCGGUGAAAUGCGUAGAGAUGUGGAGGAACACCAGUGGCGAAGGCGACUUUCUGGUCUGUAACUGACGCUGAGGCGCGAAAGCGUGGGGAGCAAACAGGAUUAGAAACCCGUGUAGUCC
rnacentral:rRNA from 1 species